AACUCUUAGCGGUGGAUCACUCGGCUCAUGCGUCGAUGAAGAACGCAGCUAGCUGAGAGAACUAAUGUGAUUUGCAGGACACAAAUACAUUUCUUUUCUUGUUAUGUCUUUCAAAUUGUAC
rnacentral:rRNA from 1 species